GGACUACAAGGGUUUCUAAUCCCGUUUGCUCCCCUGGCUUUCGCGCCUCAGCGUCAGUUGAGGGCCAGCACGUCGCUUUCGCCACCGGCGUUCCUUCCGAUAUCAACGCAUUUCACCGCUCCACCGGAAGUUCCACAUGCCCCUACCUCACUCAAGGCGAGCAGUAUCCAAGGCACUUUUCCGGUUAAGCCGAAAGAUUUCACCCCGGACUUGCUCGUCCGCCUACGCGCCCUUUAAGCCCAGUGAAUCCGAAUAACGUUCGCACGGUUCGUCUUACCGCGGCUGCUGGCAC
rnacentral:rRNA from 1 species